rnacentral:rRNA from 1 species
GAUGAACGCUGGCGGCGUGCCUAAUACAUGCAAGUCGAGCGAACAGACGAGGAGCUUGCUCCUCUGACGUUAGCGGCGGACGGGUGAGUAACACGUGGAUAACCUACCUAUAAGACUGGGAUAACUUCGGGAAACCGGAGCUAAUACCGGAUAAUAUAUUGAACCGCAUGGUUCAAUAGUGAAAGACGGUUUUGCUGUCACUUAUAGAUGGAUCCGCGCCGCAUUAGCUAGUUGGUAAGGUAACGGCUUACCAAGGCUAUGAUGCGUAGCCGACCUGAGAGGGUGAUCGGCCACACUGGAACUGAGACACGGUCCAGACUCCUACGGGAGGCAGCAGUAGGGAAUCUUCCGCAAUGGGCGAAAGCCUGACGGAGCAACGCCGCGUGAGUGAUGAAGGUCUUCGGAUCGUAAAACUCUGUUAUUAGGGAAGAACAAAUGUGUAAGUAACUAUGCACGUCUUGACGGUACCUAAUCAGAAAGCCACGGCUAACUACGUG